rnacentral:rRNA from 1 species
UUAAGGUAAGAAGGGCAUGCGGUGGAUGCCUUGGCAAUGGGAGGCGAAGAAGGACGUGGCAGGCUGCGAAAAGCGACGGUGAGCUGCGAGUGAGCGUUGACCCGUCGACAUCCGAAUGGGGAAACCCACUUGGCGAGAGCCAAGUAUCUCCUGAAUUGGAGAGGCGAACCGGGUGAAGUGAAACAUCUCAGUAACCCGAGGAAAAGAAAUCGAAGAGAUUCCCUGAGUAGCGGCGAGCGAAAGGGGAAGAGCCCAAAAUCAUAACGUGUCAAAGGUCAGGGCCGUUGCGUUAUGGUGGUUGUGGGGCGUUUGUAGCCGUUCCUGAAGACGGCGAGAGGAAGGCUUGUUUAGCCGAGAGGUCUGGGAAGGCCUACCAAAGAAGGUGAAAGUCCUGUAGGCGAAAAGCAAAUCAGACUCUUUCAAGCGUACCCGAGUAGGGCGGGACACGAGAAAUCCCGUUUGAAACUGGAGAGACCAUUCUCCAAGGCUAAAUACUACCCAUUGACCGAUAGCGGACAGUACCGUGAGGGAAAGGUGAAAAGCACCCCGGGAGGGGGAUGAAAGAGAACCUGAAACCGCAUGUCUACAAGAGGUCGAAGCGCGGAAGCGCGACGGCGUGCCUUUUGAUUAAUGCGCCUGCGAGUUGUGCUGUGUGGCGAGGUUAAGUCGAAUGAGAUGAAGCCGAAGGGAAACCGAGUCUGAAUAGGGCGAAUAGUCACAUGGUGCAGACCCGAAACCGGAUGAGCUACCCAUGGCCAGGGUGAAGGUGGGCUAAACCCCACUGGAGGCCCGAACCAGUUGCUAGUGAAAAAGCAUUGGAUGAGCUGUGGGUAGGAGUGAAAAGCUAACCGAAUCCGGUGAUAGCUGGUUCUCCUCGAAACGUAUUGAAGUACGGCCUCGUUUGGUUAAUCAUGGAGGUAGAGCACUGAAUGGGGUAGGGGGCGUGAGCCUUCCGAACCCAAUCAAACUCCGAAUGCCAUGACUCAAAGAACGGGAGACAGACUGCGAGGGAUAAGCCACGUAGUCGAGAGGGAAAUAGCCCAGACCGUCAGUUAAGGUCCCUAAGAAUGGCUAAGUGUUAAAGGAAGUGAAGUGCCGAAGACAGCCAGGAGGUUGGCUCAGAAGCAGUCAUCCUUAAAAGAGUGCGUAACAGCUCACUGGUUGAGGCACGUUGCACCGAAGAUGUAAGGGGGCUAAAGCCAUUCACCGAAACUACGGAACAUACGCAAGUAUGUUGGUAGAGGAGCGUUGGAUUGUAGGGAGAAGGCAGACCUGCGAGGGCUGCUGGACGAAAUCCAAGUGCGGAUGCAGGCAUGAGUAACGAGAGGAAGGUGAGAAUCCUUCCCCCCUUAAGCCUAAGGGUACCUGGGGAAGGCUUGUCCACCCAGGGUUAGGCGGUACCCUAAGGGAAAGGCGAAAGCCGUACCCGAUGGGAAGCCGGUCAACAUUCCGGCCCUUGGAAGCUGGAGCGAAGUGGUGACGCAGGAGGAUAAGCUGUGUGGUCAAGUGGCAAGGCCAUCCAAGCGGCAAGGUAGUGUGCGCAGGCAAAUCCACGCACAUGUUAAUCUGAGCCGUAACGGGAAGUGGUGCAGCGAUGCACUGCGACACAGCCGUGUUCACACUGCCGAGAAAAGCCUCUAAGUGAUGAAAGCUUUCAAACCGUUCUACAAACCGACACAGGUAGGCUGGCAUAGCAUGCUAAGGGGGACGGGAGAACUUCCGUUAAGGAACUAGGCAAAAUAGCCCCGUAACUUCGGGAAAAGGGGCGCUCAGAGGCGUGGGCAACUGCGCUUUUGAGCCGCAGUGAAAAGAUCCAGGCGACUGUUUACCAAAAACACAGGACUCUGCGAACUCCAUAAAGAGGAAGUAUAGGGUCUGACGCCUGCCCAGUGCCGGAAGGUUAAGGAGAGCGGUGAUGAGCUGCGAACUGAAGCCCCGGUAAACGGCGGCCGUAACUAUAACGGUCCUAAGGUAGCGAAAUUCCUUGUCGGGU